CCUACGUGAGGCAGCAGUGGGGAAUAUUGCACAAUGGGGGAAACCCUGAUGCAGCGACGCCGCGUGAGUGAAGAAGUAUUUCGGUAUAUAAAGCUCUAUCAGCAGGGAAGAAAAUGACGGUACCUGAUUAAGAAGCCCCGGCUAACUACGUGCCAGCAGCCGCGGUAAUACGUAGGGGGCAAGCGUUAUCCGGAUUUACUGGGUGUAAAGGGAGCGUAGACGGCAGCACAAGUCUGGAGUGAAAUGCCGGGGCUUAACCCCGGAACUGCUUGGGAAACUGUGCAGCUAGAGUGCAGGAGAGGUAAGUGGAAUUCCUAGUGUAGCGGUGAAAUGCGUAGAUAUUAGGAGGAACACCAGUGGCGAAGGCGGCUUACUGGACUGUAACUGACGUUGAGGCUCGAAAGCGUGGGGAGCAAACAGGAUUAGAUACCCGAGUAGUC
rnacentral:rRNA from 1 species